AAUCCGUGAUGUGGGCAAUAUCUCAACAAGUCCUUAAACCUCUCCUAUGCGCUUCGUAUAUGCUUUCAUCAUCAAACCGCAUAACAAGAAAUGUCAUUUCUAAGUUU